UCUAAUCCUCCCACUGAACUUGUGUCCAUGCCAAAGAACCUGUUAGGAAGAUAGAAAAAAGAAUUAAAAUGUCAGUAUGACUUUUUAUGUUACUCUAACUGAAACCAUUGAUUUAAAGGGUACUUUUAUUUUAUUUUUAUUCUAAAUGAAGUGAUUCUUGUCUAACAUUCAGGAAAAUAUGUGAUAUCCAUUCAUUAAUCAUUUCAUAUAGUUUACAUGUUAACUUUUGCAGGAUAACAAGGAAGGCAAUUAUCCAAUUUUUAUUGGAUAAUUAAUCAUAUGCAAUAUAUUCAUGGUAAUCAUAUGCAAUAUAUUCCUACCACCACCACCACCUCCUUUCAGGGGUACACUAUUUACUCCAUAAAAUUUAUCACUAAAAAUAUGGAUAAAUCCUCCCACACAUCUGAACAGGAAAAAAAAAAAAUCAAAAUCUGACAAAAAAUAAUUACUUCAUUAUACACUUAUCCCAUUUAUUCACUGUAUCAUAUAAAGUCACAUGCUAUAAUCCUUUCCCUUACCUCAUCUUUUUUGGGGGGUGGGGAAGGACAGGGUCUCGUUCUGUCACCCAGGCUGGAGUGCAGCGUUGUGACCAUGGCUCACUACAGCCUUGACCUCCCAGGUUAAGGCGAUCCUCCCACCUCCAAGUAGCUGGGACUACAGGCCAUCGCCACCACACCUGGCUAAUUUAUUUAUUUAUUUAUUUAGGUAGAGACGAGGUCUCACUAUGUUGCCCUGGCUGGUCUCAAAAUUCCUAGGCUCAAGAGAUCCCCUGAACUCGGCCUCAGCCUCCCAAAGUGCUGGGAUUACAGGCAUGGGCCAUUGUGCCUGGCCAUCUCAUCUUUUUUUAACCCACUUUUCUCAUAUUCUCUGGCUCCCAUUAAUUGUACAAUUAAAUCUUUCUGAAAAUUUUAAUCUUUUUUGACCCUAUCCAGAAAGCAUAAAUUGUUUUUUUUGCCAGGCACUAUGCUGUGUGCUUUAUAUCCCAGUAGCAGGCUGAAUAAAGGUCACCAAAGAUAUCAGGUCCCCAUUCCUGGAACCUACAAAUGUUAACCUUACAUGGAAAAAGGGACUUUGCAGAUAUGAUUAAUGUUAAGGAUUUUCAAGUGAGAUUAUAUGGGAUUACCUGAGUGGGUCACAAAUGUACUCACAAGUACCCUUAUAAAAGACAUGCAGAGGGAGACUACAAGUAAAAGAGAAGGCAGUGUGACCAUUGGGAGGCUGAGGUGGGCAGAUCACUUGAGCCCAGGAGUUUGAGACCAGCCUGGGCAACAUGACAAAACCCCAUCUCUACAAAAAAUACAAAAAUUAGCCGGGCAUGUUAGCACAUGCCUGUAGUCCCAACUACUCAGGAGACUGAAGAGGAGAAUCAUCUGAGGCCGGGAGUUUGAGGCUGAUGUCAGCCAUGAUUGUGCCCUUGCACUCCAGCCUGAGCUACAGAGUGAGAACCUGUCUCAAAAUGGGAAAAAAAAAAAAAAAAGAAAAAGAAAAGAAAAGAAAUUCUGGCUUACAGAUGCUAACUCUCUUGCCCAAGUCACACAGCUAGGUUGAAUACCCAGGUCUCUAAAACUCAAGAGUUCAAAACUCAUCAUUCUGCUAUAUUCAACUAAUAUUUUCUAAGCACCUCCUAUAUGCCAGGUUGUGCUGAAGUCAAAGAAAAUAGCAGAGUUAAGAAGAUAACCUCAGGCCAGACACAAUGGCUCAUACCUGUAAUCCUAGCAUUUUGGGAGGCUGAGGUGGGAGGACUGCUUGAGCCCAGGAGUUCGAGACCAGCCUGAGCAACAUAACAAGACCUCAAAUCUACUAAAUACUAAAAUUUAAAAGUCAGCCAGUCAUGGUGGCGCACAUCUGUAGUCCUGGCUACUUAGGAGGCUGAGGCAGGAAGAUCACUUGAGCCCAGGAGUUCGAGGUUGCAGUGAGCUACGAUUGUGCCACUAUAUUCCAGCCUGGGCAACAGAGCAAACCCUGUCUCAAAAGAAAACACAUACGUACACACACACACACACACACACACACACACACACAGAAAAUACAUACGUACACACACACACACACAGAGAGAAAAUUUCUAGGACAAAGUUACUGAGCAAAUGGAGAUGAGACAGAUCAUGGGCUCAGGUGGUAAUAUCACUAACUCUGAACAAGAACCAUUUUGAUCUCACAGAUCAAACUUGGGGGGCAAAAUGCAAGGGGAACCAACUAGAAGAGGUAAAACUGAAGGGCAAGUAUAGACUAUAGAUUAAAUUGUAGAUAGGAUGAAUGGGAAGUUGAAGUGGCUUAUAUACAGUGGUUUGGCCUAAUUUUCAUAGUGUAUUAUCUGAAAAGAUGAGGAGAUACUGGCUAUAUAGUUCUUAAAGACUGGUUUAAAAACACUUCAUUUAAAGAGCCUCUGAAAGGAUAAAAAAGAGACUAAUAUGUAUUGCUUUGAUUUACAGAUGACAGUGGUAGAGGCAUUUUUCACUGUACGUCUUGUAGCAUUUUCUUAAUUUUGGGCCACGUGAUUUAUCACUUUUUUUUAAACUAAAUUUAAAAACUUUUAAACAGAAUAACAGAAGGUGAAGAGAUAACUAGUUUGGUGAUCAGAGAACAUCUCUUUAAGCAAGUGACAUUUACACUGAAAUACGAAAUGAUAAGAUUCAGCUGUGAGAAAACUGGGGACAGGAUAUUCCAGGCAAAGAAAACAGCUUCUGCAAAGCCUAGAGGGAAUGAAGUUGGCCAAUCCAAGCAGCAGAAUAAAGCCAAUGUGGCAGAUCAAAGUAAGAAGCAAAGAGGAGGAUAAAAUGAGAUAAACAGGCAGAGAAUAACACAUCAAGGCCAACUAGCUAAUUCAUUAAUUACAUUUAACAGAUUUACAGAGCACCUAGUAUGCACAAGAUACUUUCUAGGCACAUGGCAAAAAUCAGUAAUCAAAACAGGUAAACAGCCCUGCCUAAGCUUAGAAAGCAUUAAUUCUAACUAAAGGUGAAAGUUUGGAUUUUACUGGAACAGGAAACACUGCCAUGUUUCCAGCAAAGAGGUGAUACAAUCUCAGGUUUUAAAUAGAUCACUGUGGCUGCUAUGUGGGAACAAGAGGGAAAAACUGGAAGCAAAGAAACAAACUAGAUGGCCAUUGAAAUGGUCCAAGUGAGAGAUGACAGUGGCUGAAAAAGGGUGGUGAUGGGAGAUGAGAAAAAGUGAACAGAUUAGGGUAUUUUAAAAGCAAGAUCUCUUACUGACAUGAAAAAAAAUCUACAAGGUAUACUGAUGACUUUUAAAAGUUACAGAACACUCAUGGAGAUAGAGUAGAAGGAUGCUUAGCAAAGGCUGAGAAGGGUAGUGGCGAGGUGGGGGUUAAUGGGCACAGAAAAACAGAAUAAGACCUAUUAUUUGAUAGCACAACAGGGUGACUAUAGUCAAUAAUAAUCUAAUUGUACAUUUUAAAAUAAGAGUAUAACUGGAUUAUUUGCAACACAAAGGAUAAAUAGUUGAAGGGAUAUUCCAUUCUCCAUGAUGUGAUUAUCACACAAUGCAUGCCUGUAUCAGAACAUCUCAUGUAGACGGGCAGAGGCUGAGGCAGGCAGAUCACUUGAGGUCCGGAGUUAGAGACCAGUCUGGCCUACAUGGUGAAACCCCAUCUCUACUAAAAAUACAAAAAUUAGCUGGGCAUGGUAGCAUGCACCUGUAAUUCCAGCUACUCAGGAGGCUGAGGCACGAAAAUCGCUUGAACCUGGGACAUGGAGGUUGCAGGGAGCAGAGACUGCACCACUGCACUCCAGCCUGGGUGAUGGGGUGAGACUCUGUCUCAAAAAGAAAACAAAAACAAAAACAAUCUCAUGUAACUCAUAAAUACACCUACAGUGUACCCACAAAAACACCUACAAAGUACCCACAAAAAUUAAAAAUUAAAAAGUUAGAGAACACAAAGAAAAUUACUACUGUGAUGUUAUGCAUAUCCCAAAAACCUAUAUAUACGAUAUUUUCCCUGAAGUAUAUAUAUUUGUACAUAAAUUCAUGGGGGGAAAAAAACUCUUGAGAGAAUCACAUCAUACUGACAGAAGUAGUUUGCUAGGAAGGGCAGAAGUUUACGCAGGGGAGGGUGAGUGGUCAACCAGAUGCACUUUGGAUUCUGCUUUAAUCUAGAGUUUCAUGCAGCUAAGCAUCUGACUGAAUAAAGGAAGGAAAAGGAGUCAUCUUAGCGGAAGAUGAUAUACAGUUGACAAAAUUCUAGUCAAAGAUGCAAUCUCCAGAUACAAAAAGAGAUGCAGAAUAAGCACUUUUCACAGACAUCAAAUAUGGGUAUACUAACUUUUUAAUGAAUCAUUAAUUUGUCUUUUCUUUUUUUUUGAGAUGGAGUCUCUGUCACCCAGGCUGGAAUGCAGUGGCGCAAUCGAUCUUGCUCACCGCAACCUCCACCUCCUGGGUUCAAGCACUUCUCCUGCCUCAGCCUCCUGAGUAGCUGAGACCAUAGGCAUGCGCCACCACGCCCAGCUAAUUUUUUGUGUUUUCAGUAGAGACGGGGUUUCACCACGUUGGCCAGGAUGGUCUUGAUCUCUUGACCUCGUGAUCCACCCGCCUCAGCCUCCCAAAGUGCUGGAAUUACAGGCGUGAGUGAGCCACCAUGCCCGGCCGUAACUCGUCUUUUCACUGAAUCUCUAAGACCUAACACAAUGCUUGAGCACAGAGUAGACAAUUGUCCCAAAUAUUUGAGGAAAGAUCAGAAACCAAAGCCAAUUAUGUUCACUUUAACUAUCAAAGUUAUUUUUAAGUAACAGCAUUAUUUAAUUAUCCAAGUAUACACUCUAGCCCUUUAGUUUAUAUAUACUGUAUUAUUCUCUGACCAUAAACCAAGUUCUAGUGUCAGAAGAGCACUGUUCUACCACUCAACAAAGUAAGAAAAUGAAAUAUUUUCAAAAACAUACAGUAUUUUACAGAAUACCAAGGUCUUAUUUUAUUCUCACAUAACUGUGACAACCCCUUUGAGUUAAAAGAAAACAGAAUUUUUUUCUAUAAUAAAACAGCAGCUCACACAUUAAUUAAAACUGCCCAAGGUCCCAAGACAGUAAAGGAUUCAAACACUAUACACAGAGCUCGGUUUCAAAACCAGUCUCUAUUCCUCUCAGAGAAAGAGCUGUGUGUCUAUCUGCUGUCAGAUGAAAGACAUGCUGAGACUGGAAAAUCGCAAAAGAUACAUUUAUUACUGCUUUAAAGAAAAUGGGCUGAGGGCAGUGGCUCACGCCUGUAAUCCCAACACUUUGGGAGGCUGAGGCAAGAAGAUUGAGCUCUGGAGUUCAAGCCCAGCCUGGACAACAUGGUGAAACCCUGUCUCUACUAAAAUACAAAAAUUAGGCUGGGCACGGUGGCUCACGCCUGUAACCCUAGCACUUUGAGAGGCUGAGGCGGGCAGAUUGUCUGAGCUCAGGAGUUCGAGACCAGCCUGGCCAACAUGACAAAACCCCAUCUUUCCUAUACACACACACACACACACACACACACACACACACACACGACAAAACCCCAUCUUUCCUAUACACACACACACACACACACACACACGUAGCGGGGCGCCCGGGUGCGGUGCCUCACGCCUGUAAUCCCAGCACUUUGGGAGGCCCAGGUGGGCAGAUCACGAGGUCAUGAGUUUGAGACCAGCCUGGCCAAAACAGUGAAACCCCAUCUCUACCAAAAAUACAAAAAAUUAGCCAGGCGUGGUGACAGGCGCCUUUAAUCCCAGCUACUCGGGAGGCUGAGGCAGGAGAAUCGCUUGAACCAAGGAGGUGGAUUCUGCCGUGAGCCGAGAUUGCGCCACUGCACUCCAGCCUGGGCGACGGUGAGAGACUCUGUCUCAAGAAAAAAAAAAUAAGAGCUGCAUUGUUUAUUUACAUUAUUAAUAUUUAAUUUCAUUUUGCUUAAUAGCUGUGAAUAUUUAAAUCCUGACCUCUACCAUUUUCUUGCUGUGGUUUUAAGCAGCUUACUUAACUGCUGAAAUUUUUUUUUUUUUUUUUUUUUUUUUUUUUGAGACGGAGCCUUGCUCUCUUGCCCAGGCUGCAGGCUGGAGUGCAGUGGCACGAUCACAGCUCACUGCAACCUCCACCUCCCAGGUUCAAGCAAUUUUCCUGCCUCAGCCUCCUGAGUAGCUGGGAUUACAGGCAUGAGCCACCAUGACCGGCUAAUUUUUUUGUAUUUUUAGUAGAGACGGGGUUUCACCAUGUUGGCCAGACUGGUCUCGAACUCCUGACUUCAAGUGAUCCACCUGCCUCGGCCUUCCAAAGUGCUGUGAUUACAGGUGUGAGCCACCGUGCCCCGCUGAGGAUUUUUUUUUAAUCUGUGCAAUUGAUAUAAUAAUGAUUCUACUUUAAGGGGCUGCUAUAGUGUUUGACAUGAAUAUUUGGUCCAUAAUAACCAUUAAAAGAAUGUUAGUUAUUACUGAUGACAGUACUUGUAUUUAAAAAAUUUUAAUUGAAUUAGUUAUGACAAUUUUGAAUGAAAAUGUUAUUCAGUAUAUUUCAAUUUUUAAAACUUUCUGUAAUAGAAAUGUUAAAAAUUUUUUUUUCAAAUUUAUUUAAAAGUAACUAAAGGACUUAUCUGAAACUUUCUCCUUAGUAUAUCUUAUUUUUGCUAUAAACAAGCUUUCCUUAUUAAGGAACUGCCUUAGAGUAAUGAUGUUUAUAUUUUAAUUUCUGAAAUGUCUUAGGAUAUGAAGUAGUAAUUUAUAGGUCUUUGGGUAAAGUAAAUAAUCACCCUUCUUUUUUUUUUUGUUUUUGUUUGUUUUUUCUGAGAUGGCGAUCUUUCUAUGUUGCCCAUGCUGGACUCCUGGGCUCAAGUGCUCCUCCUGCCUGUGUAGCUAGGACUAUAGGUGUGUGCUAGGUUAAGCUUUUAAACAGAAUUAUCCCUUCUUUUUGUUUGUUUGUUUUGUUUGUUUGUUUGUUUUUUUGAGAGAGUCUGGCUCUAUUGCCUAGGCUGGAGAGCAGUGGUGCGAUCUAGGCUCACUGCAACACUGCAACCUCCAACUCCUGGACUCAACGGAUCCUCCUGUCUCAGACUCCUGAGUAACGGGGACCACAGGCACACGCCACACGCCAGGCUGAUUUUUUUGUAUUUUUUUGCAGAGACAGGGUUUUGCCAUGUUGCCCUGACCUGGUCUCGAACUCCCAAGCUCAAGCAACCUGCCUGCCUCAACCUCCUGAGUAGCUGGGAUUUAUAGGCGCACGUUAUCACACCCGGCUUUUUUACUUAUUUAUUUAUUUAUUUUUGAGACAGAGUCUCACUCUGUUGCCCAGGCUGUAGUAUAGUGGUGCAAUCUCAGUUCACUGCAACCUCCACCUCCAGGGUUCAAGUAAUUCUUGUGCCUCAGCCUCCCGAGUAGCUGGGACUACAGGCACGUGCCACCACGCCCGGCCAAAUUUUUCUUUUUUUUUUUCCUUUUUGAGACCAAGUCUCGCCCUGUUGCCCAGGCUGGAGUGCCGUGGCAUGAUCUCGGCUCACUGCAACCUCUGUCUCCUGGAUUCAAGCAAUUCUCUGCCUCAGCCUCCUGAGUAGCUGGGAUUACAGGCGCCACUGUGCCUGGCCACAGCUCUUAUUGUUUUUAAAAAAAACACAACCAUUCAAUAAAAUAACCAAAUCAAUAUUCAAAAUACACAAGCUUCAAAAGAAACAGCAAGCCCAAAGUACCAACCUACAAUGGGAUUUAAAAAACAAUGAAUGGGGCCAGGCAUGGUAGCUCACACCUGUGAUCCCAGUACUUUAGGAGACAGAGGCAGGCAGAUCACUUGUGUCUAGGAGUUAGAGACCAGCCCUGGUGACUCAGUGAAAUCCUGACUCUACAAAAAAUACAAAAAUUAGCUGGGCAUGGUGGUGCACAUCUGUAGUCCCAGCUACUUCGGGGGCUGAGGUGGGAGGAUCGCUUGAGCCAGGGAAGCAGAGGUUGCUGUAAGCAGAGAUCAUGCCACUACACUCCAGCCUGGGCAACAGAGUGAAACCCCGUCUCAACAACAACAAAAAACACAAUGAAGCUGAAUUUGCGGUUAACAUUCACUUGUCAUAAGGAAAGUACCUGAUCAACAUAAUGAUUUUCACAGAAAUGAGAUAACAGCUCAGCCCAAAUCUACAGAUGUUAUAAAAUGUGUAGGCUUUUAAUAUAUAAGUUAUUUGGCUCCUUUGUUUUGGCAUACUUAAAACAGAAGAAAACCACUUCUGGGGCAGAAAAGCUAGAACUGAUAUCACAGUUCCCUCUGGUGGCUGCUAUGUGUCAAUUCGAUCUCCUUAGAAGAAAAUAGUGUAGCCUAAAAUAGGUCUUUCUUUACCACAGUUAGAUCCCUGCAGCAAUCUACUUCUCGAAACAGAAUAACCAUUCAACUAUGACAGCUAUCUUAAAAUCAUAGACUGUAAAUAAUAUUGGUCACUUCUACAUAUCAUAGAAAUAAUGUUUCAACCAGAAAACAUCUACUUAGUCCUUUAAAGAAAGACAAUCCAAUUAGAAGUUGACCACUUCUCCAUUAUCAAAGUAAAAUCUACUCCAUGUAGCCGCCACUCUUCUACCUCCAGUCAAUUCUAACUAUUUAAGACUAAACAAAUAACUUAUCUGAGUUUCCAUUUUACUACAGUAAAUGGUAUAAAAAUAGUUCACAUGGCUUUUCUUCUAAUUCAAAGGUAUAACUGGAUGUGAAAACCACUUAGCACACUCCUAAAUACUUACCUAACUCCUAAACAAUUACCAGACAACUGGUGCUUGUACCUCAGAAUUUCAGUAAGUUUCCAAUUAAUUUUUAAGCUGCCUUGUGAUACUCCACAUUAUAAAUCAUAAAUGCUUUCAGUUCUAUUUGGUCUUUAUUUUGAUUCAGUGAGAAUUAAUUAACACAACAGUUGAUGUUGUCAUGAAAAAACAAUGAAAAGGUAAUAGUUAAAAUAUAAAUAUUCAUAUAUUUGUAUCAAGAAAAUAUUAGUGCUUGCUGAAAAAGGCUGAACCUUCAAAAAACAAAAUCACAAAGAAAGCACUUCAAAGUGCUUCAACAAAAGUAUUCAUCAUCUUCUCCCUUAUAAGCCUAUCUAAACGCUUUCUAAGUAUCGUUAAAGAAUUACAAAGAAAGCUAAGGUGAACUCUUUUUUACAGCAAAGAGUAUUAUAAGUCAGUAUGUAUUCAUGGCACUUAUAAUAGUUCUGAGUUAAUAUGAUAGAUUUAAAAUGUUAAGAAUAAAAAUUCCUGGCCAGGCACAGUGGCUCACGCCUGUAAUCCCAGCACUUUAGGAGGCCAUGGCGGGCAGAUCUCUUGAGCCCGCAGUUGGAGACCAGCCUGGGCAACAUGGAGAAACCCCAACUCUACAAAAAAUAGGAAAAUUAGAUGGGCAUAGUGAUGCACGCCUGUGGUCCCAGCUACUUAUGGGACUGAGGCGGGAGGAUCACUUGAGCCCAGGAGGUCGAGGCUGCAGUGAGCUAAGAUUGCACCACUGCAAACUAGCCUGGGCAAGAGAGCGAGACUCUAUCUUAAAAAAGAAAAAAAUAAUAAAAUAAAAAUUCCUAAUAAAAUAGGAAGAAGGAAUUAUAGGAAGAAAGAAUUAUUAAAAGCAUUAUCAUUAAAGUCAAGAAUAAGACAAGAACAUUCUUCUACUAUUACCAUAUAGCACUGUUAUAGAAGUAACAGCCAAUGUGAUUACACAAAAAAGAAAUGAAGAAAUAUAAAAAUGUGAGGCCGGGCACGGUGGCUCAUGCCUGUAAUCCCAGCACUUUGGGAGGCCGAGGGAGGCGGAUCAUCUGAGGUCAGGAGUUUGAGACCAGCCUGGCCAACACGGCAAAACCCCAUCUCUACUAAAAAUACAAAAAUUAGCCGUGCCAUGAUGGCACACACCUGUAAUUCCAGCUACUCCGGAGGCUGAGGCAGGAGAACUGCUUGAAUGUGGGAGGCAAAGGUUGCAGUGAGCCAAGAUUGUGCCACUGUACUCCAACCUGGGCAACAGAAUGAGACUCCGUCUCAAAAAAAAAAAAAAAGUGAAAGUGGGGAAAAUAUUAUAUACAAAUUAUACAAUUCUUUACCCCCAAAGACCCGGAAGAUUUACCUGAAAAACUAUUAUAGACAGUGAGUUUAUAUAGUAAAAUAAUUGUAUCUACAUAACAAAUUAAUAUGUAGAAAUCAGUCAACUGAACGGCCAUAAAAUUUUGCUUCCAUCCAAAGGUCAACUAAACCUACAGUAAGGGUUUUUUUAAAAAAAACGACAAACCUACAAGGAAGGGAAGAUAGGAGAGAAUUCAAGUGCACUAAAAUUUUGGAAGAGGGAAGGCAGAUAAGCAUGGAUUAGUUGUAUCUGACUUAGCAGGCCUGAAAAAGGUAAACACUGAAUCCACAGGAAGCAAAGUUUUGAAAUGAACAAAUUACAAAUGAAACUGCAGUUAACAUUCACUUGUCAAGGUAGGAACUAUCUUCAUCAACAUAACAAUUUGCAGAGGAAUGAGGCAACAGUUCAAAAUAGAAUACUCAACAGGUUCAGGAACCACUGAAAGUAAUGGCAAAAACUGCAAUUACUUUUGCACCAACCUAAUAGCAGCAUCUCUUCUCCAAAGGGGAUGACGUACUUAGGGCAGCUAAUGUUUGGGAGGCCGAGGCAGGUAGAUCACUUCAGGUCAGGAGUUCGAGACCAGCCUGGCCAAGAUGGUGAAACCCCAUCUCUACUAAAAAUACAAGAAUUAGCCAGGCAUGGUGGCGCACACCUGUAAUCUCGGCUACUCAGGAGGCUGAGGCAUAAGAAUCACCUGAACCUGGGAGGCGGAGGUAGCAGUGAGCCAAGAUCAGGCCACUGCACUCCAGUCUAAGUGACAGAGCGAGACUCUGUCUCCAAAAAAAAAAAAAAAAAAAAAAAGACAGCUAAUAGACAACUCAGUGAAAACUACUGAAAAGCAAUUAGAAACCUACAUUUCCUUUCCCAUCCAAAUAAAUCCACAAGUUUAAUCUUUGGAGAAAGUAAAAGAUUGACUUUGGACAGGAAGAUUUAAGGCACAGUUCAGGUGCAAGCUCUUUAUUUCAGUUGAAUCUGAGGUAUAAAAUAAACUGAUACAUACUCAGGACUGGUGCUGAGACCUAACCUCCACCUAAAACUGCAAGUCACACAUCUCCCCAUUCAGGAAAUUGGAAGGCUCUUUCUGGAAACAUGAUUUCAUAAAAAGAUACCCAAGAAUGGAGAUUUCCCAACAAACAUCCACCCAGAUCAUCCCUUAAUGAAAUGUGACAUCGACAGUGUACUGUGACCCUCAACGGCUUAGAGUGUCCACACAGCUUUUAGACAUGCACCACGAACAGACAACCAAGGACUACCUGACAGCUGAGUAAAGAUAUGAAAGAUAUCUUCAUGAUGAAAACAAAUGGGAUGAAAAACUCAAGUUGGUAGAAACAGUAACUAUCUAAGGGGAGAAAACAUUUUAAGAAAAUAAUAUAUUCAGAGAGAAAAGAAAAGAUAUCCACAAAAAUGAACGGAAUGCUAGGAAAAAAUUCGUAUUUACAGGAGGAAAAAGGUACUUCUCCAUGUUAAAAAUAUGAGUGCAGAAACUUAAAAUCCAAUAGAUGAAAAUACCAUUUCCCACCUACUGAAACCAGGGCUCCUUGGAGAAAUGGUAUAUUGCAGGUCAGAGGCAGGAAAUGUGUAAGAUUAGCCCAAAACACUUGCUUAUAGUAGAUAGCAAGAAAGCUACUGAAGACUAAUGGAGUUAAAAGGACUCCAGAGCCAACAUGAAUAGGCUCCAACUGGCCAAAGAUAGGACAAUUUGAACAUGAAUAAAAAUCACUGCAAUUAAUUAAAACACAUCAAAUAUGUGGUUUGGGGUUUGUUUUUUGUUUUUUUUUUUGUUUGUUUGUUUUUUGUUUUUUCUGUUUUUUAGAGGCAGGGUCUCACUGGCAACCUAGGCUGGAAUGCAAUGGCAUCAUCAUAGCUCACUGCAGCCUUGAACAUCUGGACUCAAGUGAUUCUCCCACCUCAGCCUCCUGAGAAGCUAGAGCUACAGGAAUGUGCCGCCAUGCCUAGCUAAUUGUUUUAUUUCUUGUAGAGAUGAGGUCUCCCUAUGUUGCUCAGGCUAGUCUUGAACUCCUGGCCCUAAGUGAUCUUCCCACCUCAGCCUCUCAAAGCACUGGGAUUACAGGCAUGAGCCACCAUGCCCGGCCUCAAAUAUGCUUAAAUCCGUGAAUUCAUCACGGUACUAAUACCAACAAAAACAAACCUAAUUCCAAAGCAAGAUUCAAUAACAUAAAGAUAUCAAUUUUCCCUAAAUUAUCUGCAAACUUACUUUGAUCUCAAUAAAAAUACUAACAGAAUUUUUAAUUAGAUAAACUGAAUCUCAAAUUUAUAUGAAAAAAUAAGCAAGAACAGGAAAAUUCUUUUUUUUUUUUUUUUUUUUUUUUGAGAUGGAGUCUCGCUCUGUCACCCAGGCUGGAGUGCAGUGACACAAUCUUGGCUCACUGCAAACUUCACCUCCUGGGUUCAAGUGAUUCUUGUCCCUCAGCCUCCCAAGUAGCUAGGAUUACAGGCGCCUGCCACCAUGCCCAGCUAACUUUUUGUAUUUUUAGUAGAGACAGGGUUUCACCAUGUUGGCCAGGCUGGUCUCCAACUCCUGACCUCAAGUGAUCUGCCUGCCUUGGCGUCCCAAAGUGCUGGGAUUGUAAGCGUGAGCCAUGACGCCCAGCCAAGAACAGGAAAAUUCUAAAAAGAGAUGAGUAACAGAAGAAACUGGCAUAUUAUGAAGCUACAAUAAAUAAAACAGUGAGGUAGGGAAUAAGAAAAGACGGACCAAACAGACAAAAAAAGUCUGAAACAGACCCAAUAUAUCAAGGAAUUUAGUAUACAAUGAAAUUUCAAUAGGGUAUAUAAAUUUUUCAGAAAAGUAGUAUAAAACAACUGGGAAGCAACUGAGAAAUAUUACUUUGAAUUCUUGUCUCACACCGAAAGAAAUUCCAACAUAAAAAUAAAAAUUUGGGGAGCCACCUACCCCUCAUCAUACAUAAACGUUAAUACAAGAUAAAGUCUUAAAUUUAAAAAUUAUUUAAUAAAAAAUUUAAUGUAAAAAUAAAUUACAAGAAUACCGAACAUUUAUUUUUAUAAUUUUAAAGUUACAAGAUCCUUGUAAAUCUGACAUAAAAAAAACAGAUGAAAUAACAAAUUUUUAAAAAAGAAAAAAUACAGAUGAAGACAGAGACUUUAGGCGAAAUGGUGUGGCAAGAAGUUCUAGGUAUAAGUACUUCCACCCAAGCAACCAUUGAGUGGGAAAAAAUGAUUGAAACCAACUACUUUGGAUCUCUAGAACCUGACUGUACACCUAAAACAAAUACAGGAGCAAUCCAGGGAGACGCUGGUGAUCAUUCAUAAGUGAAUAGUACAAACCAGCCACUAUCCCUCAUUCCUCAUCCCAACUCAGCUUUGGGAAUAGCAUACUAUGUUCUUGGCACAGCUGGCUGUACACAGGGCUGAUAGGAACUUUUACCAAAAUUUGGGAUUGUGUGUUUGGGCUGGUCUGGAGCAGACACUUCCUUGGUUUCAGCCUUCUGGGCAGGAGCAGCUUUCCCUGUAGCAUCUAUCACAGAUUUACUGAGACAUGACCAUUUUCUCUUUUCUCUGCAGACAUUUAAGGAAAUUUUUGUCAGGUCAGUACCUCACCACACAGAUAAUGGAAGAGAAACUCCAGUGCCUACAAACAAGAAACAUAAACUGGGCAAAAAAAAAAAAAAAAAAGUGCAGAAAAAGUCACGUGAACAGCUCUAUCCCUCAACAAGUAAAAAAUCUGCGAUCUAUAAAGACUGGGGGAAUCAGAUUUCCAAAGUUAACAAAACAUUUGAAGAAACAAUGGCUGAAAACUGCCCUAAUAUGAUGAUGAUAAAUAUACAUAUCCAAGAAGCUCAACAAACUCCAAAAGCAGGAUAAACUCAAAGAUAUCCAUGUCAAGACACAUUGUGGACCUCAAAGAGAGCAGAAAUUUUGAAAGCAGCAAAAAAGAAGAGACUCAUCUGGUUCAAGGAAUCCUCAUUAGAUUAUUUAGAUUAUCAUUAUCAGCAUUUUUUCAUCAGAAACUAUAGAAGCCAGAAGUCAGUGGGAUGACAUAUUUAAAGUGCUAACAGAAAGAGGGGGGAAAAAAAUCUGUCAGCCAAGAAUUCUAUACGCAGCAAAACAUCCCUCCAAAAAUAAGGUGAAACUAAGAUAUUUCCAAAUAAGCAAAAGCAGAAAGAAGUUCAUUUCCUGCAGACCUGCCCGACAUGAAAUGCUGAAGAGAGUUCUUCCAGCAAAAAUGAUAAAACACUGAAGAGUAACUCAACAUGGUAAGAAGAAAUAAAGCAUAUGAGUGAAGGUAACUAAAGAGAUAAAACAGAAAAGUCAGCGGUAAUGUACUUUAGGUUUAUAAUUAAUUUUUUUAUAUGAUAUAAAAGAUAAAGGCACAAAACAGUAAUUUUAGGCUGGGAACGGUGGCUCACACCUGUAAUCCCAGCACUUUGGGAGGCCAAGGAAGGCAGAUCACCUGAGGUCGGGAGUUUCAGACCAGCCUGACCAACAUGAAGAAACCCCGUCUCUACUAAAAAUACAAAAUUAGCUGGCGUGGUGGCACAUGCCUGUAAUCCCAGCUACUCGGCAGGCUGAGGCAGGAGAAUCACUUGAACCCAGGAGGCGGACGUUGUGGUGAGCCAAGAUUGCACCAUUGCCCUCCAGCCUGGGCAACAAGAGCAAAACUUCGUCUCAAAAAAAAAACCCAAAAAACAGUAAUUUUAAAUUUAUAUUAAUGAGCACACAAUAUAUACAGAUGUAAUCUAUGACAAUAAUAUUACAAAGGAAGAGGACAGAGAAGUACAGCAGUAGAGUGUUUGUAUACUUCUGAAACCAAGUUAUUUGCAAUAUGUUAUUAUAAAUUUAGUCUUCUGUUUGGUGGUUCUAUCCAUUUUUGGAAGGGUAUAUGGCUAUUUUAAUCCCCAAGGUAACCAUUUAAAAAAUACUUUUAGGCUGGGUGCAGUGGCUCACACCUGUAAUCCCAGAACUUUGGGAGGCCAAGGUGGGAGGAUCACUAGGUCAGGAGUUCAAGACCAUCCUGCCUGACUCGAUGAAACCCCGUCUCUACUAAAAAUACAAAAACAUUAGCCAGGCGUGGUGGUGGGCACCUGUAGUCACAGCUGCUCAGGAGGCUGAGGCAGGAUAAUGGCAUGAACCCGGGAGGCGGGGCUUGCAGUGAGCCGAGAUUGUGCCACUGCACUCCAGCCUGGGCGACACAGCAAGACCCCGUCUCAAAAAAAAAAAAAACUUUUAAAAUAUAUAGAAAAGAAGGGAAUCAAAUGGUACACUAGAGAAAAAUUUAACAUAAAAAGCAAUAAUAGAAGAAAUGGAAAGGGUUGGCUGGGCGCGGUGGCUCAUGACUGUAAU
rnacentral:lncRNA from 10 species